GGAGGUCUCAAGCCCGGACAAGUAGGUGGAGGGCCUCAGGCCUUGGGCUCGGCUCACCUGGACAAAAACGUGGGGAGACCCAAACUCCCCUUAACACAGCAGUGGGCGGAACUUAGCCCUAGGCUGAGCCUCAGGAACUCUGGGCGCAGGUGGGGAAGGUGUGGAUCUGAGCUCCUCCGGGCACACGGGGGUUCCAGCAGCCCCCACGACCACCGUGAAUGGCGUGGGCCCCAAACUCUGGCAAUACCCAUUUCCCCUUCGACUUUUUCCGCAAUUUACCUGAUUGCGAGCGGGCCCGCGGCCUCCGCCUUCCGGCGCGGCCCCCCAAGUCCCUCCCCCGCAUCCCCGGGGAGAGCUCGGGGGUGGGGGGCCACGUGCGCAGGGCCGGGGCGGGAUCCAGAAGGGACCAGUUUGGGGGCGAGGGGCGUGGCCCGGGCUGCACGCGACCCUGGGAGUUCUUGGAAGUCACUGGGUGCCGCGCGCAGGGGUGGGGCGCGGAGGAGAGCGCGAGGCUCGUGGGUCCCGCCCCCGCCCGCGAUUGACACCCAGACGGCUCCGCCCCGCGCUGCGGCUAGUUACAGACCCCGAGCGCCUGGCCCCGGACUCAAAUUUCCUCGCGAAGAUCAAGUCCGGUCCUCGCCUCGCCUGGCCAAGAGCUGCGUCUCCACCGUCUCGGACGCGCGGACCUCGCCCAGGUUCCCGGAACUCGGCAAACCGGUCUGGGUGCUGCUUCUGGGGCCCUGCCCUUUCCCAGCGGGGCGCCGGUCCGGCACAGCGGAGAGGGGAGGGGAUCUCCGGACGGCGGGCACGGCGAGAGCCGGCUCUGCUUGCUCUCCGGCAGGGCGAUCCUCUCUGGCCUCAGUUUCCCGAUCCGUAAAAAGUGGAUCAAAGAAGCGAUCUCAAAGGAGAGUUGCAAAUGCAUCAUCCAUUCACAAAAACCACUUAGCAGAGCACCUGCUGGACUCGUUUCUGCCAUCGCAUGGAGGCCAUAGGCUAGAAGAGACAACCCCAGAAACAAAUGUAAAACUGCAACUGGGCUACUAUUAA
rnacentral:lncRNA from 1 species